rnacentral:rRNA from 1 species
UACAGAGGUCCCAAGCGUUGUUCGGAUUCAUUGGGCGUAAAGGGUGCGUAGGCGGCGCGGUAAGUCGGGUGUGAAAUCUCGGAGCUUAACUCCGAAACUGCAUUCGAUACUGCCGUGCUUGAGGACUGGAGAGGAGACUGGAAUUUACGGUGUAGCGGUGAAAUGCGUAGAUAUCGUAAGGAAGACCAGUGGCGAAGGCGGGUCUCUGGACAGUUCCUGACGUGAGGCACGAAGGCCAGGGGAGCAAACGGG